AUUUGUCCCCUAAAUAGGGACUAGUAUGAACGGCUAACUGAGGUUCUAACUGUCUCAUUAGACCAAUCAAUGAAACUGAUCUUUCAGUACAAAAGCUGAAAUUUACCCAUAAGACGAGAAGACCCUGUGGAGCUUAAAACUCGUACUAUAACACGUCUUAUCAAACUUUUUAGUUGGGGCGACUUUGGAACAAAACAGAACUUCCAUGCCAGGUCCCUAUCAAGGUUGACAAGCCAAAAUACAUCAUAUUGACCCAGCUUACCAAGCUGAGCAACGAACCAAGUUACCCCAGGGAUAACAGCGCCAUCCUCUUCAAGAGUUCAUAUCGACAAGAGGGUUUACGACCUCGAUGUUGGAUCAGGACACCCCGGCGGUGCAACCGCUG
rnacentral:rRNA from 1 species